UCUGCAAACUGCUCACAAGAGAAGA
rnacentral:piRNA from 1 species